rnacentral:rRNA from 1 species
UGGGGGAUAUUGCACAAUGGGCGAAAGCCUGAUGCAGCGACGCCGCGUGGGGGAUGAAGGCCUUCGGGUUGUAAACUUCUUUUGCUCUGAACAAGGCGCACCAUGGGGUGUGUUGAGUGUAGGGGUUGAUUAGCGCCGGCUAACUACGUGCCAGCAGCCGCGGUAAUACGUAGGGCGCGAGCGUUGUCCGGAAUUAUUGGGCGUAAAGGGCUUGUAGGUGGCUGGUUGCGUCUGUCGUGAAAGCUCAUGGCUUAACUGUGGGUUAGCGGUGGGUACGAGCUGGCUUGAGUGCAGUAGGGGAGGCUGGAAUUCCUGGUGUAGCGGUGGAAUGCGCAGAUAUCAGGAGGAAUACCGGUGGCGAAGGCGGGUCUCUGGGCUGUUACUGACACUGAGGAGCGAAAGCAUGGGGAGCGAACAGG